rnacentral:piRNA from 1 species
UAAUGCUCAAGUAUUCUCCUG